GCUUCGAUGAAACGGCGUUCGUCGAAACGGCGUUCGAUGAAAUGUCCGGACAUUUCAUCGAACGCCGUUUCGUCGAACGCCGUUUCAUCGAAAA
rnacentral:pre_miRNA from 1 species